rnacentral:rRNA from 1 species
GAUUAACGCUAGCGGCAGGCCUAAUACAUGCAAGUCGAACGGCAGCACGGGUAGCAAUACCUGGUGGCGAGUGGCGCACGGGUGCGUAACGCGUAUGCAAUCUACCUGUAACUGGGGAAUAGCCUUCCGAAAGGAAGAUUAAUACCGCAUAAUAUCACGAGACGGCAUCGUUUUGUGAUCAAAUCUCCGGAGGUUACAGAUGAGCAUGCGUGACAUUAGCUAGUUGGUGAGGUAACGGCUCACCAAGGCUACGAUGUCUAGGGGGUCUGAGAGGAUGAUCCCCACCAC